rnacentral:rRNA from 1 species
GACGAACGCUGGCGGCGUGCUUAACACAUGCAAGUCGAACGCUGAAGCUUGGUGCUUGCACUGGGUGGAUGAGUGGCGAACGGGUGAGUAAUACGUGAGUAACCUGCCCUUGACUCUGGGAUAAGCCUGGGAAACUGGGUCUAAUACUGGAUAUGACAUGCCACUGCAUGGUGGUGUGUGGAAAGGGUUUUACUGGUUUUGGAUGGGCUCACGGCCUAUCAGCUUGUUGGUGGGGUAAUGGCCUACCAAGGCGACGACGGGUAGCCGGCCUGAGAGGGUGACCGGCCACACUGGGACUGAGACACGGCCCAGACUCCUACGGGAGGCAGCAGUGGGGAAUAUUGCACAAUGGGCGGAAGCCUGAUGCAGCGACGCCGCGUGAGGGAUGACGGCCUUCGGGUGGUAAACCUCUUUCAGCACGGAAGAAGCGAGAGUGACGGUACGUGCAGAAGAAGCGCCGGCUAACUACGUG